rnacentral:rRNA from 1 species
AUUGAACGCUGGCGGCAGGCCUAACACAUGCAAGUCGAACGAGUGGCGGACGGGUGAGUAAUGUCUGGGAAACUGCCUGAUGGAGGGGGAUAACUACUGGAAACGGUAGCUAAUACCGCAUACCAUCAGAUGUGCCCAGAGGGGAGUAGCUUGUUGGUGGGGUAACGGCUCACCAAGGUGACGAUCCCUAGCUGGUCUGAGAGGAUGACCAGCCGCACUGGAACAGAGGCACGGUCCAGACACCUACGGGCGGCAGCAGUGGGGAAUAUUGCACAAUGGGCGCAAGCCUGAUGCAGCCGUGCCGCGUGUAUGAAGAAGGCCUUAGGGUUGUAAAGUACUUUCAGCGGGGAGGCGUGACCCGCAGAAGAAGCACCGGCUAGCGCCGUGCCAGCAGGCGCGGUAAUUC